rnacentral:lncRNA from 1 species
AUAAAUAAUAUGUCUUUUUUGAAUUUUUGUUCUUGCAACCUUACCAAUUAAAUUAAUUUAACUAAAUUGUAGAAUGAUUUUUUAUUAAAUAUUAAUGCUGUUUUUUUAAUAAUUGUUUUAUUUGGCAGUAUUCCAUUUUAAAAUUUUUAAAAUGUUAGUAUGCGAAUUUGUAAUGUUACUUUUGCAUAAAAUCCAGAUUUUUAAAUAUUUG